CAAUCGGCCCUUCUCAGGGCCACCCAUAUACCUUGUACAUACUACU
rfam:Trachymyrmex cornetzi contig54827, whole genome shotgun sequence.